CACGUAGGGCGCGAGCGUUGUCCGGAAUUAUUGGGCGUAAAGAGCUCGUAGGCGGUUUGUCGCGUCUGCUGUGAAAACGCGAGGCUCAACCUCGCGCCUGCAGUGGGUACGGGCAGACUAGAGUGCGGUAGGGGAGAUUGGAAUUCCUGGUGUAGCGGUGGAAUGCGCAGAUAUCAGGAGGAACACCGAUGGCGGAAGGCAGAUCUCUGGGCCGUAACUGACGCUGAGGAGCGAAAGCGUGGGGAGCAAACAGG
rnacentral:rRNA from 1 species